UAGCCUAGUGGUUAAGGCUGUGGAUCGCCAAUCCGGAGACGGUGGGUUCGAUUCCCGU
rfam:Aedes albopictus isolate Foshan contig1317, whole genome shotgun sequence.